UCUUGCGCUGCUCGUGAUAGCACAUGCGCAGAAUAAAUAUACCGCUGGAACGCGGAUUAAGCUGUUUACAUGUCGGAAUAAUUCGAAAGAUUUCGGCGUACGUUUAUUUCAAUUUUGACUUUACACCGAUUGAGAUAAGCAGAGUAAGGUUUUUACAUGACCAUUUCCAUAGUCGGCGUAAACAGUUUAAUAUAGGAUUAUUAAUAUGCAUGUAAACGUACAUCAAUGUUUUACAUGAAAACGUUGGUCUGAUCUCAGCUGUAAACGAAUAAGAUAGCUCAUCUUUCUUUUGAAUAAAUCGAGUACUUGCCCCAUAGAAGACAGUCAAGUCGCAGUCAGUGAGAAUUCCAACAACGGUAGACGAAUGGAAUCAUGUGAGAAUGCUGCAGUCAGCUGAUCAAAACAACGAACGGACUCGCGGAAGCGAAAUAGCUAGGAUACACGUAACAAAGAACAAUGAUGUUUUAGCGGAUGUAUAAAUCUGAAGCAUCCGGUUAGCGUUUCCAAUCGGAUCAAAGCUCUCGUAGAAACUUGCGGAUAGGAGGGUCUGAGGACUGGCAGAGAGCGUUAGCUCCAGAGGCGGAGGAGGGUGGUGGUGGUUGGAAGAGCGCCACGGCAGUUCUUGAUAAAGAAGAACUUCAAGGCUGCGUUUCAAAGUCAACAUACGGUCAAAACACUUAAAAGACACACCCUCGCCCACUUACCCUUAGGGGAAUCCUCGUCGCCAUUUUGGUGGGUGGUCCAAAUGACUAGCCAAGCAAGGGACGUUUGCAACGUAAGCCCCUCAGCCCUCGUUUUUUUGUCGGCUUUGCGAGUGUACAAUUAUGUUCACUCCGGGGCUUGAAACUCCCCAUAAUUCAAUUCGCGACGAUUGUACAAGUGGCGUUACUACAGUCCCUGGUUCAAAUCCAGGCUGUAUCACAUCCAGCCGUGAUUGGGAGUCCCAUAGGGCGGUGCACAAUUGGCCCAGCGUCGUCUGGGUUUGGCCGAGGUAGGCCGUCAUUGUAAAUAAGAAUUUGUUCUUGACUGACUAGCCUAAUUAGAUCAAGGUUAAAUACACAUUUUUUAAAUUCCGGGGAAACUUAAAAACAACAUCAAUGUCAACAUACAAGUGGCAUAAAAGCACCCACAAGCUACCGGUGCCUGAAAACACAAUCAUUGCGGGAUGAACGAGUGACGAAUUACCAAGAAAUGAGUUGUGGCUUGCGGAACAUCCUGCUCAUCCCAUGAGAAGCAGAGCAUGAUCAAUGCCACUUGCACCAAGGAGAUCUUCUGGAAUGGGUGUACUCUCACUCUGGGGGUAGAGGCAGGGAUGACUGGGUUCUUCAGCAAGUAAGACACGGGGUAAGAAAUAAUUUAAACAUCACAUAUAUAAAUUCCCAAUGUGCCCAUUAUAAAGUUAACUACAUUGCUUUAGUUAGCUGCUUUCAGCAAAAAUUGUAUGUAAUGUAACCUAUGUAUGUACAAUGUGGAAUAUUUUUGGACCAUUGGCUUCCCUGAAAACGGAGACUGACAGGAGGAUCAAUAGGAGUCUGCCAGAGGUCGUCACGCUGGAUGGUGAUGGAGGUUUUGGUGGUCCACACAACGAAGAAGCAGGUGUCCCUUCAAGUGACGUGGAGUUUACCUUGGACCAAGUGCCAGUAAGGAUGGUCUUCACGGAGGCUGUAAGACGCUUUCUUCUGGAUAUAGAAAUCCUUCAACUUCACUGCCUCUUCAAUGGUAAGGUCCCCUCCAUUUGAUCCCCACAAAGGCUGUGGUGCCCACCAGACCAUCUGGUGAAGCACCCAGAAUCCCAGACCCCGUGACCCAAGCCUUGACUCCUGCACAUCCAUCCCUGUAGCCAUUUUGAAUGUCUUGAUGCCCUCCUCUUUAUCUGUGCCCCACUUUACACACAACACCCCAUCCAACGACUGUGAACACCUUGAAAUGUAUGCAUUUUAAGAAAUGUGAUACAAAAAUAGUUUGAUUUGAUGACUACAGCUGUAGAAUAUUUAAUAAACUGUGAAGUGCAGUUUUUCCAUAAACUUUUAAUUGAUAACUUGGGAUUUUGUCACUUGACAUAUCAAUCAUACAGUGGGAAGGAUCCUAUAAAUCAAGACUGUGUGGAUGCAUGUACCUCUCCGAAUAAAUAAAUGUCUCAAAGUCAAUUCUGAAUGUCAAUUAGUUUUGGAUUAAUUCUCAUCAAUGACAACAUUCUAGAACUGAGUAAACACUAAUCGAUGUCUGGUAUCCGGGGUAAUCUGGUUUUGAUUAAGUGUCUCUUUCCUUAUAGAAUGUUGACAGCUGUAUAGAACAAAUUGUAUUGCUAUGGUGCUCAAACUUAAUAGGUUGCAUGUUCAAAUCCAGCCAUGUAUUUUUGUUUUAAGCCUAUCCUCAACCUUAACCAUUGCGGUAAUGCCUAACCUUAAGAUUUCAGAGUUAAUGACUUGAACUUAACCUUAAACUCUUCGAAAUUUGACUUUUGAGAAACAUGGAUGAACGUCUACUUCUAACUUGAGAUUGCGAGAGCUUGUUGGCUUUUUUUGCAUGUGACUACUCAUGUUUGUUAAUAACAAAUAAACAUAAAUAAAUGUG